GAGAUGGCUCAGUGGGUAAGAGCACUUGCUCUGCAAGCAUGCGGACCUGAGUUCAAAUCCCNGGCACUCA
rnacentral:tRNA from 1 species